rnacentral:rRNA from 1 species
UAUCGGGCAAUGGGCGCAAGCCUGACCCAGCAACGCCGCGUGAAGGAAGAAGGCUUUCGGGUUGUAAACUUCUUUUCUCAGGGACGAAGCAGGUGACGGUACCUGAGGAAUAAGCCACGGCUAACUACGUGCCAGCAGCCGCGGUAAUACGUAGGAGGCAAGCGUUAUCCGGAAUGACUGGGCGUAAAGGGUGCGUAGGUGGUUUGACAAGUUGGUAGCGUAACUCCGGGGCUCAACCUCGGCACUACUACCAAAACUGUUGGACUUGAGUGCAGGAGGGGCAAAUGGAAUUCCUAGUGUAGCGGUGGAAUGCGUAGAUAUUAGGAGGAACACCAGUGGCGAAGGCGAUUUGCUGGACUGUAACUGACACUGAGGCACGAAAGCGUGGGGAGCAAACAGG